UGCCGUCCACAAGGGUGGGUGUGGUUACUUGACAGACAUUUGAAAACCCUCCCUUUGGUUAAGGGACACACCAUAGAUGAAUGAAGAAGAAAGUGGUGACAGCGAUCACAGCAUCAUUAUGCAGAAAAGAAGACUCAUCAAAAGGUGCCCUAAAGGGUAAUGAGCACCAACUCUGCAACUCAAACUGAGAUGUAGGAAGAAUGCUGUUCUGCCACACAUCUACUCCCCACAAUUUUUGAAAAACUGAAUUUCUAUCUACUCCAGCACCUCCAGUCACAGAUGAACACAAUGUAAGAGUUCAGAACAUUUGAAGAAGACUUUAGUGACAGGUGAGCUCUGGGCAAUGGGGUCUCAGAGAUCAAAGCUGGGAUCUCAAUACUCAUUCUACUGAGGUCCUCUGAGCACUCAUGCCUCUAAGCUUUAGCCCAAUGAAUAUCACUCACUAAUAAUCACAGCUUACCCAUCUUUUCUUGCCUCCUCCUACAAAGAAUAUACCAUGGAAAAGGUUCUUUCUCCCUGCCUGUCACUUUCCAUAAAAUUUAGAUUCGUACAAUAAAAUUGUGUAAUUUGAUUAGGAAAUACAUGGCGACUUCUGCAGAGCUGCCUGGAAGACCUACAACUGGGCAGAAAGCCUGGAUAGAAAUGUAUUCAAUAAAAUAAAGAAGUUAAAUUAA